rnacentral:lncRNA from 1 species
GGCUGGGAAGAGCCAGGAGGCACUGGAGAAACAGCCCAGGGGAGGCCCGAAGGGAGAGAAAGACGUGCCAGCCUCAUCCCUCAGUGCCAGCGGGCAGCGGCCCUCAGGUCACCCAGCAUUUGUGUGCAAAUGGAGCCCUGUUACCCAUCAGUUCCGGCUUCCCUGGUGUGGGCUCAGCUUUCACAGACCUGGAGAGUCCUGCCCGGCUGCUUCCGGGGUCCUGCACACAGACCCUGCAGUCACCCUUCUCGCCACCCAGCACCACCUCCCCUGACUCCACACGUGUGUUCACGAGAGGGAGCUGCACGGUGACGGGACUGCCGCCGACGCACAGGCAGAGACGUCAGGCUUAAUGGCGCACUGCAGCCAGCUGUAUGGAUUUAGGGGAACUUAUUCCACCAGCUCUUCAUGGAGAGUUAGACAGUUUCCAAUAAUUUGCUGUUAUAAAUGAUAAUGAUAUGAAUGUUCUUGCAUGUACAGAAGAUGUGUACUUCUCCCUGUUAAUUACACACAAUGCACGAUGCUCAGUCGGUGGGUCUGAGUCCAAAACAAAACCCCAGCUGACACUGUGGAGCCAUUGGGAUCCGUCUACUCACCCACCCUCCCAUCCAUCCGUCCACUCACCCACCCUCCCAUACAUCCGUCCACUCACCCACCCUCCCAUCCAUCCGUCCACUCACCCACCCUCCCAUCCAUCCGUCCACUCACCCAUCCAUCCAUCCAUCCACUCAACCGUGCACCCAUCCAUCCACUCAUCCAUCCAUCCACCAAUUCACCCAUCCAUCUACCCAUCCAUCCAUCCACUCAGCCAUCCAGCCAUCCAUCCACUCAUCCAUCCAUCCACCAACUCACCCAUCCAUCCAUCCACUCACCCAUACAUCCACCCAUCCAUCCAUUCAUUCACCCAUCCUCCCAUCCACAAACCCACUCACCCAUCCAUCUAUCUAUCCACUCACCCAACCAUCCACUCAUCCAUCCACCCAUCCACUCACCCAUACAUCCACCCAUCCAUCCAUUCAUUUACCCAUCCUCCCAUCCACAAACCCACUCACCCAUCCAUCCAUCCAUCCACUCACCCAUCCAUCCACUCAUCCAUCCACCCAUCCACUCACCCAUACAUCCACCCAUCCAUCCAUCCAUUCACCCAUCCUCCCAUCCACAAACCCACUCACCCAUCCAUCCAUCCAUCCACCCAUCCAUCCACUCAUCCAUCCACCCAUCCACUCACCCAUACAUCCACCCAUCCAUCCAUCCACUCACCCAUCCUCCCAUCCACAAACCCACUCGCCCAUCUACCCACUCAUCCAUCCACUCACUCACCAAUCCACCCACUCACUUACCUACUCAUCCACUAAUUCAUUCACUCACCCACCUAUCCAUCCAUUCUUUUUUUUUUGGGGGGGACAGAGUCUCGCUCUGUCAUGCAGAGUGGAGUGUAGCAGUAUGACCUCGGCUCACUGAACCUCCGUCUCCUGGGUUCAAGUGAUUCUCCUGCCUCAGCCUCUUGAAUAGUGGGAUCACAGGCUCAAGCCACCACGCC